rfam:Schistosoma mansoni, Puerto Rico, WGS project CABG01000000 data, contig: 0077
GCACUGCUGAGGAGUCCCAUAAGAGGACGAAACGGCCGUCCAGUGC